AUGUGGUCUCACCAGAGCCCUAUACAACUGCAGAAGAACCUCUUUACUCCUAUACUGAAAUCCUCUUGUUAUGAAGGCCAACAUUCCAUUAGCUUUCCUCACGGCCUGCUGUAGCUGCACGCAUCUUACAGUGACUGGUGUAC